CAUGCGCUGUUCUUGUUGGGUUCGCUUUGGCUGCUGUAACGGUCGUUUCUCGUCGCCGCGUGUAGUUCGCGUAAUUGCGAGCGUUCCAGCAAGUCUAAAGCGUUUAAGAGGCUUUGUAUUGUUGUUCUCACCUGAUGCUGUCGUUCUUGCAACCCGUCUGAUAUUGCAACUGUCUGUAAGUGGAAGCGUUUCUUCUAACCGCGAGCAGACCAGUCGGUCUCGUUUGACAUGUCAAAGAGUGAAGACGCUGCCUUGCAUGUGAAGCCAAAUCGUUCUUCGCCUUCAGGAUUCUUGCCGUUUCAGGGAUCUGCACAACGACAGGGAGAUAGAACGCCAAGUGAAGUCUACUGUAUGCUUUGUGCAGACGGUUCAGCGUGUAUGACGCAGCGGCCUCCAGCAAGAGAAACUCAAGCACCGUGUUCAAAUGCGGUGGGGACUCUUGCUCGACAUAACAACGCUUAGAAGUGCUUUUUCGGAAGAAGGACAAGUUGGACCGGAAAUG